rnacentral:snRNA from 1 species
AUACUUACCUGGCAGGGGAGAUACCAUGGUCACAAAGGUGGUUUUCCCAGGGCAAGACUGAUCCAUUGCACUGGGGACCUGCUGACCCCUGCAAUUUCCCCACCUGGGGGAAACUCAACUGCAAAAUUUGUGUUGGUGGGGGCUGCAUCCAUACUUUCCCCCA